AAACACAUUCUGUUGACAGUGACACUUGUUGCAGAAAUAAACCAUGGCUACAUCUCCACUCAGAUCGCCUGUCCUCGUCAGUGGUAUUGAUCAGGGGACUAGUGGAACCAAAUUCUGUGUAUUUGAUAGCGUCACUGGAGAUAUCGUUGCCUCCCACAACAUGGAGACAAAGAGAAUCGAACCGAAAGAAGGAUGGACAGAGAUGGAUCCUCUUCAUAUCAUGGACACAGUUUGGAAAAGCAUCGAUGCUACUGUUCAACAGCUGAAGGACAAGAAUAUAGACAUACGGGAAAUAAAAUGUCUGGGAAUCACCAAUCAGAUGUUGACUUUAAUACCAUGGAGCAGCAAAACGGGCAAACCCUUCUACAAUGCUAUAGUAUGGUGCGAUAUUCGAACGCAAGACGAAAAUGAAAAAGAACUUGACAAGGUGCCUGGAAGAAAUAAAGAUCAUUUCAGAAGGAUCACUGGUCUGCCUUUGAGUCCUUUGUUUUGGUACACAAAAAUUCCAUGGAUCCUUAAGAACGUUCCUGGCGUAAUGGAAGCUAUAAAAGAUGGUACCUGUAUGCUUGGUACAGUCAACUCUUGGAUUUUAUGGAAUCUCACUGGCGGUGUAGAUGGGGGACUGUAUCUGACGGACAUUUCUAAUGGUCAAAUUACAGGCUUGUUUAAUCUGGAAACAUGUAACUGGGAUCCAGAAAUUUGCAGGUAUUUUGGAAUUCCUCAUGAUGUAUUUGCUGAGGUUAGGAGUACCUCAGAAAUUUAUGGCUACAUAAAAUCUGGACCUCUGGCUGGGAUUCCCAUAUCAGGGAUGUUAGGAGACCAAAAGGCAGGAACAGUCGGUCAGUUAUGUUUCACAGCAGGUCAAUCGAAAUGCACAUAUGGAACAGCAGGGGGCUUAAAUAUAAACACGGGAACCAAGGCUGUGUACUCUACCUGUGGAAUGAUGACGUUACCACUUUUCCAACUCGGAAAAUCAGCUCCUGUUAUAUAUAAUCUUUUAGGAGCCAUUGAAGGUUGUGGACAGUUAAUGCGAUGGUUGAGAGACAAUCUACAGAUCGUCAAAUCCGUUGCAGAAAUUGAAACGUUGGCGACAUCGGUAGAAUCAUCACAUGACUGUUUCUUUGUUCCCGCCUUUGGAGGACUGUUAGCCCCGUAUUGGGAGGAUGACGCACGAGGAACAAUAGUAGGAAUGACCGGAUACACAAGGAGGGAACAUAUUUGCAGGGCGGCUCUGGAGUCGGCUUGCUUCAUGGUUACGGACCUUCUGGAGGUUGUUGAGAAGGAUACAGGAUAUCCGAUAUCUGAGUUGAGAGUUGAUGGCGGGAUGACUGUAGACAACUUGAUGAUGCAAAUCCAAGCCAAUUUUAUCAACAAAACAUUCGACCGUCUGUGGUUGAGUCGACUUCAUUCGGGGCUGCUCUAAUGGCGGGAGCAGCUGAUGGUAUCAACGUUUUCCCUGUUUCCCCGGAUAAGCUGAAGCUUAACGUGGCCUUUCCCCUUCCUGAAACCAUUUUCAAACCGGCAAUGGAUGAUCAUGAACGUGAACGACUUUUCAAACGAUGGGAGAAAGCAAUAGAGAGGGCGAGACACUGGACCUCACAGUAAUUGGAUGCAUUAGGGGAUUUUCAUUAAUUGGAUCCUUUGCUGCUAAACAAAAUCAUGUAAAAAAGGGAAGAAAUUAGAUGGUUGUGUUAUUCAACUCAUAUUCAGGG